GGAGGGGUGGCAGAGCCUGGUUGAUUGCACCGGUCUUGAAAACCGGCAAGGGGAAACUCUUCGGGGGUUCGAAUCCCUCCCCCUCCG
rnacentral:tRNA from 1 species